rnacentral:sRNA from 1 species
UCAAUGCCCACUUGGGGAAUGACCGGGG